rnacentral:rRNA from 1 species
UCGAAACCUGCAAAGCAGACUGCAAACACGUAAACAACGAUGCGCACGGCGCGGUAAGGAGGCGACCUCUGGCCGGGCCGGGUGCUAACGAACCCAUCGCAGAAUGCGCCAAGGAAAACUGAAACGAAGCGUCCGCCCCCCACGCCCCAUUCACGGAGCGCGCGGGGUGAUCGACCGUCUAUCUAAAUGUCAUAACGACUCUCGGCAAUGGAUAUCUCGGCUCUCGCAUCGAUGAAAAACGUAGCGAAAUGCGAUACUUGAUGUGAAUUAUAGAAUCCCGUGAACCAUCGAGUUUUUGAAUGCAAGUUACGCCUGAAGCCGUCAGGCCGAUGGCACGUCUGCCUGGGCAUCACGCAUCGCGUCGCCCCCUCCUAGCGCACUGCGUCGGCGAGGCGGGGUGGAUAUUGGCCCCCCAUGCACCCCGGAGCGUGGCCGGCCCAAAUAUGAUCCCCCGGCGACUCAUGUCGCGACAAGUGGUGGUUGAACUUUUCAAUCUCACAGCGUCGCGCUCCUGCAUCGUCCGGAUGGGCAUCAUCGAACGACCCAACGGUGCCUGGCACCUUCGA